GCCGGCAGCUAGCUCUCUGCAACUCGCUCACUGAAGCUCAGCAGGGCUGCUCCCGGUCAGUACCUGGAUGGGAGACCACAUGGGAAAGCUAGGUUGCUGUCGGAA
rnacentral:rRNA from 1 species